GGAAAUAUUGACACAUCUAUAAUCACAACACUCUCCCUAACAGAUUGAGUGUAAGGCUCCAUCUGGGGAGGUGUGUCCACUUCCUGGCGCUUGAUCACGUCUGAACUACAUUGUCCAGAAGACAUUGCACCGAGAAUAGCCAAUGAAAAUAGGCGCGAUAGUGACGACAAAAGGACGCUGGGCGGGACUUUCGGCUUUGCGUGCAGGAGGUUCUUUGAAACUUUCUGGAUCUGUCAGUCUGGUUCACAGAAAACUGGUUUUAUCAGUAUUGGUCAUGGCAGGAAAAUGGUAGAGUUGAGGCGUUUUUCCUCCGUCACGGAGACAGAGCUGAGGUUUUCGACAGCCCGUGUGAUCUAAUCCAAGCUUCGAGGAGGGAUGGCCACGUCCCAGGGCCUGGCUGGCCACUGGAGCCUGAUGGUGAUUGUGGAGGCUGCUGGUGGAGCCCUGCCCCAGAUUGCUAGAACCAAACCCUCUGACUCAAUGUCUGGUGGACUGUACCUCUCAAGGCUUGUGGAAGGGCAUGAGCUCUGACAAAGAGCCCUGGAGUGACCUCUACUGGCAUUACAUGAGGGAAAGGGCUCAGUGAACCUAAGGACCUGACUUUUGUUUAGAGAGACUCUGGUGGCCAAGAAGAUUUGAACAGGUUUCCCAGUAUUCAGUGAAACAUGCUAACCAGAAAGAAGACUGUUUAUCCUUUGAGGAUGUGGCUGUGGACUUCUCCUGGGAGGAAUGGACACUGCUUGAUGACUCUCAAAGGAUGCUGCACCAGACUUUGAUGUCAGAAAUAUGAACACUCAUGUCUUUACUUGACUUAUACCUUCUGGGAUCCGUGACAUGACUCAGCUGGAGUCUUGGGGAGAGCCCUCUGUGCCUGCAUUGAGAUUCCUGACUCCAGGUUGUUGGAUCAAAGUGGAGAGUGAAAUGUCACCCUUUGAGCAGAGUCUGUCUGCAGAAGGUGCCAGUCCAUCCACGCUGCAGCAGCACAUGCUGUGCUGUGCUGUGCUGAGACACCCUUGCUAAGCAUGGACAAUGUGAUGAUCCUCCAGACCUCCUAGGGUCUUCUAAAGCAUCAAGUGACUUACACUAUUGGGGAUACCCCCACAAACACUGAGAGUAGAGAGGCCAUUCAGAGUGAGAAGAACUGCAUACGCAGCGACAGUGGCAAAACUUUUACUAGCACAUCCCACCUCAAUCGACACCGGAAGAUACACACUGGAGAAAAGCCUUUUCAGUGCAGGGAGUGUGGGAUGUCCUUCAGCCAAAAAGCCUUUCUUAUUAAGCAUUUCAGAAUUCACACCGCAGAGAAGCCAUUCAGGUACAGUGAGUGUUGCAAAACCUUCAAGCACAACUGCUACCUUGUUGCUCAUCAGUGAGUUCACACAGGAGUGACACUGUUACAUGGGCUAAAUGUGGCAAGUCAUACAUGAACAGAUCCAGCCUUUUAUAUCAUUAUUGGGUCCAUACUGGAGAAAAUCCAUAGAAGUAUACUAUAGUAGUUUGAAUAGGUUUGGCCCUAUAGAUUCAUGUGUUUGAAUGCUUGGCCCAUAGGGAGUGACACUAUUAGGUGAUGUGGCCUUCUUAGAAUAGGUGUGGCAUUCUUGCAGAAAGUGUGUCACUGUGGGGAUGGGCUUUGAGGUUCAGUGCUCAAGCUCCACCCAGUGUGGGAGAGUCUCUUCCUGGCUGCCUUUAGAUCAGGAUAUAAAACCUCUACUCCACAGCACCGUGUCUGCCUGCAUGCAGCCAUGGUUCCUGCCAAGAUGGUAAUGGAUUGACCUUCUGAAAAUGUAAGCCAGACCCAAUUAAAUGUUUUCCUUUAUAAGAGUUACCUUUUCAAAGUUUUCAAAGUUCCUUUCAAAGCAAUAAAAACACUAACUAAGACAUGAUAUCAAAUGCAUAAAUAAUAUAAGGAAAAUUCCAGCCAUGUUUAUCAUGUCCAAGCUCAUAUAAGGGAAAGGAAAUUUAAAAAUCAUGAAUCUUGAAAGUGUUAAAAAACGAAACUCAUCUCAUCAAUGACCAACAAACUUCAUAGUAGAGGAAAGGAUUUUAUGUGUAGUGUGUGGGGGAUGCAGCCUCAUUUAACAUCAGGGAUUUUAUGCAGCAAAGCAUCAUGAGUGCACAGAAUGUGGCAAAGUGUUUUGCUGCAGGACUGGCACCACACUAAAUAGAGUAUAUGUAUUGAGUGCAAUGAACAUGGGAAAUUGUUUCCAUGAUCUACCCUAUCUACACAAAAGGAUAUUCACUGGACAAAAGUCAAGAGUGCUUCAGAUGUGCGGAGCGUUCACCCACACUUGCAUCAUAUUUAACUGAAGAAGCCACAGUGCAGACAUGCAUCAUGAACCCACUGAAUCUGGGGAAGACUUUGAACAAAGUUUGUUCUUACUAGCAACACAGACACAACCCAGAUAGGUUUGUGAAUGCAAACAUAGAGAAAGCUUCAACCAUUGACCAAGCUUGUUGAGCCUUAGGAGUGAAUGUGAGUCUGAGCAAAGAAGUUCUGAGAGUGGCUUUUGUGAGGAAGCAAGUCAUUGAAAAUUACUCAUCAAAGAAGAACAUGGAUCAAGAUGAGGAUUAGUGCCAUCUUAUUCCUAAGAAGUUAAUGCUUUCUGGGGACUUAGCAAGAGGAAGCUGUGUUCUUGGCUGCACUGCACCAGUAUUGAGUGGAGUCUUCAUGUGGCUGACUUUGAAUGGGGGAGGAAGAGAGUGACCUCAGUUUAAAUAAGACAUAUAUAUUUAUUGUUGUUUGUUCUAUUGGUUGCCAUUUUUCCCUCACUGAAUAUUGCAGUCCAUGGGAUAAAUGAUCAUUUACUAUAAAGUCUUCAUAACUAUUGUGUCACUACUUUUGUUGGGGACCAGCUCUGUGUAGCACCCUGUAUCUAUGUUUCCUUUUUUGUUUAUAUACAGUCUUACCAUGUUGGUUUGUC